GCAAGCCCAAGAACAGCCUAGUGAAGCCGCCUUACUCGUACAUCGCGCUCAUCACCAUGGCCAUCCUGCAGAGCCCGCAGAAGAAGCUGACCCUGAGCGGCAUCUGCGAGUUCAUCAGCAACCGCUUCCCCUACUACAGGGAGAAGUUCCCCGCCUGGCAGAACAGCAUCCGCCACAACCUCUCACUCAACGACUGCUUCGUCAAGAUCCCCCGCGAGCCGGGCAACCCGGGCAAGGGCAACUACUGGACCCUGGACCCGCAGUCCGAGGACAUGUUCGACAACGGCAGCUUCCUGCGGCGCCGGAAACGCUUCAAGCGCCACCAGCAGGAGCAC
rnacentral:lncRNA from 1 species